CCAGUGAAACAUGUCUUCAGCUACAGGACGCGUCAAAAGAAAGCAAUAAAAACCGGAGCCUUUUUUUUUUCCUGUACUCCUGUCCAACGAGGAGCACUGUGUCUCAAAGCUAUAAUCUCUAUGCAAACCCCCAAACCCCAAUUAACAACCACCAGAGCCACAGAGCCAGGCUGAGAUAGCAGUGCCAACAGCAAAUUUAUCAAUAAAUACUGAAAUUCACCAGAAGGAUGCAAUUAGAC
rnacentral:misc_RNA from 1 species